UUUCCACCUGAAGUGCCUUUUUGAUUUUCUUCAAUUUUUUUCUUUACAAGAUCUUUCUUUUUAUAUUAUGUGAGCACUCCAUUCAAUUGAUUUAGUAUAUCAGAACUUGAUAAUUUAAUAGGCCUCUUUCUGUAUUCUCUUUGAUCAUUAAAAGAUAUUCUAUCUCUUCAAAAUCUAUAGGUAUUCGAUAAGAACCAUCGAUGCUCUCUAUAACAAAAUUUUCAACCAUGUGACAACCAUGUUGAUUCUGUUUGAUUAUAACAAGAAAGACAUGCAAGUUUACUUUUUGUACUCCAUCCA
rnacentral:lncRNA from 1 species